AUUAUAAAACGCGGCAUCAAAUAAGUAUCGGCUUUUGUACUACCUUUAAUCCACCUUUAAGUACGACCUUGAAAAAACGUUAUUACAAAACGCAGUUUAUCGCAAGUCCUAUUACUAUCUGUAGUACAAAAGAUAAACCAUCGAGCUCCCUAGUUUAACUGCAGUACUUAGUCGACAAACGUCAAAUUCCGACAUUAUUUACUUUUGAGGUUAUUUGUUUUGUGAUGAAAAAAAAACGAAAGUGGAUAUAAAUAUGUGUGAUUUGGAAUCCUUUGAUGUGUUAGAAUACUAUUGAGAGUGUCCGGGGACCCAACAGAAUGCGUCAUCGACAAAAUCCCUUCAAAUUAUCUGACGACAAUUUUCGAUAUAAAUAUCGAUUUACGUUUUUCGAAAUAAUAGUCAAUUGAAUGCAUGAUGAUAAUCCAGGAUGAUCCUAUGAUGCUCAACUGGGCUCGCCAUAAAAUUCAAGACUAUUUUGGCGUUUUGCACGCCAUAUCUCUGCCAGUAAUAUGCAAUGUUUGUAAAAGACUGGAAGCUUGCUAAAAUGUACAAAAAUGCCUAGAUGAGAAAGGGAACAAUAUUGUGUGAUGAAGAACAGUGUCCAACAUGUAUCAGUGCAUUUGACUGUAUAAAUAGACGUCGGAAUAAAAUAUAAUUUUCUACUU